rnacentral:rRNA from 1 species
UACAGAGGUCCCAAGCGUUGUUCGGAUUCACUGGGCGUAAAGGGCUCGUAGGCGGUUUGUCGCGUCGGGAGUGAAAACACCGGGCUUAACUCGGUGCUUGCUUUCGAUACGGGCAGACUAGAGGCAUGCAGGGGAGAACGGAAUUCCUGGUGCAGCGGUGAAAUGCGCAGAUAUCAGGAGGAACACCGGUGGCGAAGGCGGUUCUCUGGGCAUGUCCUGACGCUGAGGAGCGAAAGUGUGGGGAGCGAACAGG